GAUGAAGAACGCAGCGAAAUGCGAUACUUGGUGUGAAUUGCAGAAUCCCGUGAACCAUCGAGUCUUUGAACGCAAGUUGCGCCCGAAGCCAUUAGGCCGAGGGCACGCCUGCCUGGGUGUCACACACCGUUACCCUCGCGCCAACGUCCAUCGUUGGCCGCGGCGCGGGGCGUGCGCUGACCUCCCGCGAGCGGGGUCUCGUGGUUGGUUGAAAAUCGAGUUCGCGGUCGAGGGUGCCGUGAUGAAAUGGUGGAUGGGCGACGCCCGAGGCCAAUCACGCGCGACUCCGUCCGGCUCGGACUCCUGGACCCCUUCGGCGUCUCCGGACGCUCUUUGGCGAGACCUCAGGUCAGGCGGGGCUACCCGCUGAGUUUAAGCAUAUCAAUAAGCGGAGGA
rnacentral:misc_RNA from 1 species